CCAUACCACCCUGAAUGUGCCCGAUCUCAUCUGAUUGUGGAAGCUCGGCAGGGUCCGUCCUGGUUAGUACUUGGAUGGGAGA
rnacentral:rRNA from 1 species